AGCUACGUCCCAAAAAGCAUUUAUAAGAAUGCUUGAACAUCGGGCACAUUGCACAGGACGGAAUGGCAGUAUAUGCGGUGAUACAUUCCACAGGGUGUAUCGUGAAUUUGCCUUCUGCAACUGGAAGAAAGAGCAUCUGUGUCAGGUUGAGCCCUUCAAGUGCCCUGCCUGCACACCAGACAUGCUUGCCAUAGCUGCAGAUGGUAACAGAAAGCAGUACCGCUUCAAGAAAUCCAAAGGGACAGAUGAACAAUCUCUUUUUGAUGGCCUGUUCAUUGCACAAGAUGCCCAAGUGUCUGCCUUUG